rnacentral:miRNA from 1 species
AUGACAAGGCCAAGAUAUAACA